rnacentral:rRNA from 1 species
CUACGGGAGGCACCAGCAAGGAAUAGUAGGCAAUGGGCGAAAGCCUGACCUCGCGACGCCGCGUGGGGGAUGAAGGCCUUAGGGUCGUAAACCCCUUUUCUCAGGGAUGAAUAAUGACAGUACCUGAGGAAUAAGUCACGGCUAACUACGUGCCAGCAGCCGCGGUAAAACGUAGGUGGCUAACGUUAUCCGGAUUUACUGGGCGUAAAGCGUGCGCAGGUGGCGCUUUAAGUCGGAUGUAAAAUCUCCCGGCUCAACUGGGAGGGACCAUCCGAUACUGGGGUGCUAGAGUACGGCAGAGGAAAGUGGAAUUCCCGGUGUAGUGGUGGAAUGCGUAGAUAUCGGGAGGAACACCAGUGGCGAAAGCGGCUUUCUGGGCUGUCACUGACACUUAUGCACGAAAGCGUGGGGAGCGAACAGGAUUAGAUACCCGGGUAGUC